rnacentral:rRNA from 1 species
AUUGAACGCUGGCGGCAGGCCUAACACAUGCAAGUCGAACGAGUGGCGGACGGGUGAGUAAUGUCUGGGAAACUGCCUGAUGGAGGGGGAUAACUACUGGAAACGGUAGCUAAUACCGCAUACCAUCGGAUGUGCCCAGAUGGGAUUAGCUAGUAGGUGGGGUAAAGGCUCACCUAGGCGACGAUCCCUAGCUGGUCUGAGAGGAUGAUCAGUCACACUGGAACUGAGACACGGUCCAGACUCCUACGGGAGGCAGCAGUGGGGAAUAUUGGACAAGGGGCGAAAGCCUGAUCCAGCCAUGCCGCGUGUGUGAAGAAGGUCUUCGGAUUGUAAAGCACUUUAAGUGGGGAGGCGUUACCAACAGAAGAAGCACCGGCUAACUUCGUGCCAGCAGCCGCGGUAAUUC